CAGUCGCCACGGGAAUACGGAGGGUGCAAGCGUUAAUCGGAAUUACUGGGCGUAAAGCGCACGCAGGCGGUUUGUUAAGUCAGAUGUGAAAUCCCCGGGCUCAACCUGGGAACUGCAUCUGAUACUGGCAAGCUUGAGUCUCGUAGAGGGGGGUAGAAUUCCAGGUGUAGCGGUGAAAUGCGUAGAGAUCUGGAGGAAUACCGGUGGCGAAGGCGGCCCCCUGGACGAAGACUGACGCUCAGGUGCGAAAGCGUGGGGAGCAAACAGGAUUAGAUACCCCUGUAGUCCCUGUCUCUUAUAC
rnacentral:rRNA from 1 species